rnacentral:rRNA from 1 species
UACGUAGGGUGCAAGCGUUGUCCGGAAUUAUUGGGCGUAAAGGGUGCGUAGGUGGCGCGCUAAGUCGGGUGUGAAAUCUCGGAGCUUAACUCCGAAAUUGCAUUCGAUACUGGCGUGCUUGAGGACUGGAGAGGAGACUGGAAUUCAUGGUGUAGCAGUGAAAUGCGUAGAGAUCAUGAGGAAGACCAGUGGCGAAGGCGGCUUC